UGGGGAAUAUUGGACAAUGGGCGCAAGCCUGAUCCAGCCAUGCCGCGUGAGUGACGAAGGCCUUAGGGUUGUAAAGCUCUUUUGGCGGGGAAGAUAAUGACGGUACCCGUAGAAUAAGCUCCGGCUAACUUCGUGCCAGCAGCCGCGGUAAUACGAAGGGAGCUAGCGUUGUUCGGAAUCACUGGGCGUAAAGCGCACGUAGGCGGAUAGUUAAGUCAGGGGUGAAAUCCUGGGGCUCAACCCCAGAACUGCCUUUGAUACUGGCAAUCUAGAGUCCGGAAGAGGUUAGUGGAAUUCCCAGUGUAGAGGUGAAAUUCGUAGAUAUUGGGAAGAACACCAGUGGCGAAGGCGGCUAACUGGUCCGGUACUGACGCUGAGGUGCGAAAGCGUGGGGAGCAAACAGGAUUAGAUACCCACGUAGUCCCUGAGCGGGCUGGCAAGGCGCAU
rnacentral:rRNA from 1 species